UGAUGAAAUGGCAUGCUAAUUGUUUUUUGAAAUGGCAUGUGUUUAGAAUUAGAUCUGUGAUAAGCCAUGUGUUAAAGCUAAUUCACUCAUUCAUGUGUUAAAGCUAAUUCACUCAUGCUAAACACACCUACAACUAGGAAUUCUCAAUUCCGUGCUGAUCAAUCAAACUUCACUGGGAGAAGGUUUCUUUCAGUUUACAGUCUCCCUUUCAUUCUUUAUAACCACUUUGGUAAGUUCCUUGAGGGCCUGUUUGGAUCCAUGGAAAAGUUUUUUGGAGAAAAUUCUAUUUCUGCAGAAACACCAUUUCCGUUGAUUUUUUUUUUUUUUUUUUUCUUUUAUUUUCCAGCCAUUCUUGGAAAAAUCAUUUCCAUUAUUCCAAAUCUUCCAGAAAUUCGAGCAUUUUGGUUACCUCUUUCGUUCUGAUGAAACGUGAUUUCCCAAAGUCAAAGAAGUUGAAGGAAACUCACCCCAAAUCACCAGUAGCUACCACAAAAAAGCAUCCGAAAGGAUUCAAAAGAAUCUUCCAACCUUAAAACUGGAACACUUCAAACUUUUCAAAGCAUCCACAAGCUUACUUGCAGAACUAUAGAAACUAUUGCAGGGGGCAAAAAUAAAAAAUAAAAAUCCCCCAAUGCUCUGGGAUGGAGAAAGGAAUGGUCCUGUUUCAGUUUGACGACACUCCCUAUGGGACUCCAAAGAAUGGUGGCCCUGUUUCAGUCUGAUGACAUUCUGUACAGGACUUGAGGAAUAAGAGCUGAUUCAGACCAACAUGAGCAUAAAGCAGUAUCACCGAUGCAAGGUUUCAUGUAUUGUUCUGCCACUCCCUGCAAUGCUCAUUACAGAUGCAAUUAGAUUAUUUCAUGUCGACUAAGCGGAUACAUUUCCAAGAGAAAAAAAUAAAUAACUGUGAGUGAAACAAAAUAAGAUUAUUCCCUACCCUUUUGCUCUUUUGUUGUGGUUAGAGUUUGCUUGGAAGAAUCUUAGUAAGGAACUCUUCUUUGAUAGGCUUAUCCAUGCUUGGAGGUGUCUCCCCAGGGAAUGUCUCAGCACAUUUUUCGGCAAGGAAAUUAACAAAACGAGAUCCUUUCCCUUCGUUAAUCUUCUCCACGAGAGAUUUUGGCGGGUAAGGGAAGGGCCCCAGCCUCUAAGACGAUGGUUGUUGCUUCAACCCCCACACAGAAGAAAGGAAUUCAUUGGGCUUGUUCAUUGUUGUAAGAUUGACAGAUCCCCUAUACCUGUGGGUUGACAUACUUGUCAGAAACCAGAAUCCUAUUUGUAAGGAGAAAUGCUAGUGAUUCCAGAGAAAUGGAAGAGGCAAUUCGCAGUAUGCGUGCUAAUAUGGCACAUGAAUGGAUCCGGCCAGUCAUCAGGUGGGACCCCAUCUGACCAUACCCUGGCUAAAAAAAUAAAGAAAGAAGAAAAGUCAGGUCAGUCCACUCAUCAGGUGGGCAACCCAUAUACACUGAUGAGUGACUGGCCUAGCUUUUCAACCAAGGGCAUGUCUAUGAUGGGACCCACCUGAUGAGUGGGUUCCAGAUCUCUCAGUCGAGCACCAUGGGGCAGGGAAACCUCUUCAAUCUUUCCUUGUAAGAAUUGCCAUAUUGCCUCUCAUUUCAAACUAACGUCACGAAUGCACAAGGCAAACAACCAACCUCUUGAGAAAUCGAAGAUUAGCCUUAGAGCUUCAGAGGGUAUGCUGAAGUUGAUAAAUGGUAUGGUCCCUAAACGCCUGUAAUCAUGAAAGGCCAAAAACAAUUUCUCUAAUUACGCUUCAACAAACUUCAAUUAAUGAUUGUUUACCUUUCUAUCUUGAAUGUUAUUCAUCAACUUCUUUCUCAUUUAUUUUUAGUUGUAUAAACUGGUAAGAGCUUAUUUGUUAAAUGGGGGAUAAUGUAGAACUGUUGCUAUUUAUAGAUUGGUGAACCUAGAAGUUCAAGAAUUGGAUAUGUUUAUGCCAUGUUGAUGAUACAAAAAUCUGAUCAGCUGUAAUCCAUCCAGACCAAUAUUUGUUUAUGAAAAAAAAAAAAAAGACAAACGAAACACAAGGAAAUGUAAUUUAAGGCUGUACUCAUAACAAUGUUGGCUAAUAUCUGCCAUGAAUGUUUGACAGAACAAUUUCCUUUUCCAAGAAAUGGAGUAGCAUUUUUGCAUACAUUUUUUGUUUGUCAUUCGGGGCUUGCGAAAUGUCAUUGUUUCAGAAUCUCGUCUUCAUGUUUGUUCACACACAGAUCUUUUGCUGAUAUUAUGAUUGGUGUUCUUUCUGCAUGCCUAAUAACCUGACAUUCAGGUUGUUGCAUUGGGGAAUAUCAACACUGUAGCGACCAAGAAAGGAAAUUGUAUUCAGGCAUCUUCUCAUGUAUUUCUUCAUUUGAAUAAACUUUCAUAACAAUCACAUACUGUUGAGUAUUGUUUUUUCUUUGGUUGACUUUUAUACCUGUUUUAUUAGUUUAAAAGGUUUUAAGUCCAUCCAGCCACCAUUAAUUCAGAUGGCGUCUUGCUGUUAUGCUUUCCAGUUGAAUCAAGAAAACAUUACUGCUAUUAUUAGAUGACAAAAUCUAUAAUAAUGUUUAAAUCCACCUUUUCUUUUGCAACAGACUCAAGUUAUUGCAGCAGCAACUGCUGGUGUUGCAGCUGAGGAUUCAUAUCUUCAGGUGGUGUUUCAAAUUUCUCUGAUGCACCAAUUCCAUUCAGUUUUGUGGUGCUCUUUCAUGUCUUCUUUGAAUCUGCAAUGCCUGCUUUGUGGAACCAUCUGAUGGACAUGUCAUGCAGGGUUAUUUUGAUAAUGUUUCAGAGCAUCUCAGAGUAGGAUCACCAUUAUAUUUUGUUGUGAAGAACAACUAUAGGUGAUCAAUUGGCAAUUGCUAAGGAAACUGAGUGUCGGUUGGGAAUGGGUACAAACAUAUACCCAUCUUCAUGUCUUCUGGGGGACAGCAAGGAUGAAUUAGUUUCGGCUCUACCUGUGGAUGGACUAAUUGAAAAGGCUGAUGGUUUUGCUGGGGUGUUUCCUGGUAAAAUUUUUGCAUAUUCUGUUGGUCCUAUCAAUUUUUCUUAUGCCAUUUCUUAUACUAUGUUUUCUUCCACAAAACACAAGUAUGAGAUUGUGAAGAAACUCCAAGCUAGAAAGCACAUCUAUGGAAUGACAGGUGAUGGGGUCAAUGAUGCACCUGCAUUAAAGAAGGCAAACACAGGAAUUACAGUGGCCAGAUGCAACAGAUGCUGCUCGAAGUGCUUCUGACAUAGUUCUAACAGAGCCUGAAUUGAGUGUAAUCAUUAGUGCCAUUUUAACAAGCCGUGCAAUUUUUCAGAAAAUAAAGAACUAUACAGUAGUCUCAUGCUUUCAUUUGCUAUAUUACAGAUAGGGACUGUGCUUGUGCUGCUGACCUGUUCCACUUUUGAUAUUUACGUACCAUGACAUGGAUCUGUUUGGGAUGGCUUGAUUGGGGAAAGUACUUAGUUCACACCAUACGAAGGGACCCCAAUCGUUGAGGAAAGCAAAAAUGUCGUUGUACCUUAAAAAUGUCAAUGGUCCAAAAUAUUUCAUGAAUCAACAGCUUUGUUGUGCUUGGUUGGUUUUCAAGCGAACAAGGCAGCUGCAUUAGAAGUCAGCAUAGUAUAUAUGUGGCUAAAAUAUAAAUCAAACAAAUGCAUAUAUACACAUGAAGAACCUAAUUUUUGUCCUCAUACAUGUUACCGAUUCAUGCCAUAAUCAGUUUUAUAUGAACAUGGACAAUUCUUGUGAUGAUGGGAAUAAAGCACUAAUACUUCUAUUUCCACAAC